rnacentral:rRNA from 1 species
CACGUAGGGUCCGAGCGUUGUCCGGAAUUAUUGGGCGUAAAGGGCUCGUAGGCGGUCCGUCACGUCGGGAGUGAAAACUCAGGGCUCAACCCUGAGCGUGCUUCCGAUACGGGCGGACUAGAGGUAUGCAGGGGAGAACGGAAUUCCUGGUGUAGCGGUGGAAUGCGCAGAUAUCAGGAGGAACACCGGUGGCGAAGGCGGUUCUCUGGGCAUUACCUGACGCUGAGGAGCGAAAGCAUGGGGAGCGAACAGG